rnacentral:misc_RNA from 1 species
CUGAUUUACAUGGAUUAUUAUUGUCUUUAGUCUUUUUUCUGUUCACGAACUCCGAAAAGGAUGGAAUGGCCGGCAACUCAGCACUCAUAGAGGCAUUUUGUGUUUUUGAUUGAGAAAUGCACAUCGUUGUUUCAGAUCCAACAUUGCUAUGGAGUUCUGGAUCAGUAUCCUUUAUUGGCUUUUUCUCCAACAAUCGCGACGGUUUCUCAGGAUGUUCUUCCUUAGGCAUGGUGUUCUCAGGACGGGCAGGGGUACUGCUCAGCAGCCGAUUAGUUAACUCCGAGGAAUUUGUCAUUUUUAUCCACCUCAGUGUACUCGCAACCUGUGAAUAAUAGAAUGUUUGUUUUCCCACUCUUCCCAUACUUCUUGUAGCACUCGUUUUCAAAGAAGGCAGCUGAUGCUUCCAAUUCAAUGCUCAAGUUGCCAAGCCGUUGCUGAGCCUCCU